rnacentral:rRNA from 1 species
AGGGAAUCUUCCGCAAUGGACGAAAGUCUGACGGAGCAACGCCGCGUGAGUGAUGAAGGUUUUCGGAUCGUAAAGCUCUGUUGCCAGGGAAGAACGUCUUCUGGAGUAACUGCCAGGAGAGUGACGGUACCUGAGAAGAAAGCCCCGGCUAACUACGUGCCAGCAGCCGCGGUAAUACGUAGGGGGCAAGCGUUGUCCGGAAUUAUGGGGCGUAAAGCGCGCGCAGGCGGCUGUUUAAGUCUGGGUGAUAAUCCUGGGGCUCAACUCCGGGUCGCACGGGAAACUGGACGGCUUGAGUGCAGAAGAGGAGAGUGGAAUUCCACGUGUAGCGGUGAAAUGCGUAGAGAUGUGGAGGAACACCAGUGGCGAAGGCGACUCUCUGGGCUGUAACUGACGCUGAGGCGCGAAAGCGUGGGGAGCAAAC